GAGUGUCUGUGCUAUGAGUGUUGUAAUUCAGGGAGAGAACUGGGUCUCACUAAUGUAUCCCAGAAUAAAGUAAGUGCUCCAUAAAUGAAAGCACCAAUGAGAGAGAGAGAGGGAGAGAGAGAGAGAGAGAGAAAGAAAGAGAGGGAGAGAGAGAGAGAAUCCCAAGUAGGCUUCACGAGGGCAGUGCUGACCCCAAUGGAGGGUAUGAACCCACAAUCAUGAUCUGAGC